rnacentral:misc_RNA from 1 species
AAGUAAUUAUUAGCUUUUAAAAGACAAAAUCACAAUGUAAAGAAAAAAAAAGUGCAUCAAUUGAUGAAUAAUGCAUAUGUUUUAUAUGCAAAAGCAAAGUAAAUCACAUCUUCAAGUUAGACAACUAAGUAAUAGGUAAACAUUAGUUCAUGAUUGAGGCACAAGGAAAUGUUCUAUGGGUAAAUAUUUAAAUCGGAAAUUUCUUACCAACAUCACGAUAUUUGUACACCCAACUAAUAGAAAACUAUUUCCACGUUAUGUGUAAGACCUAUAAUGACUUUAACUAAAAUGACAUUUAUUGAUUAGUGAGUUGUA